CCGCUUCCAGUGUGAACACCACGCAAGAGCUAUCUGCAAGUGACUUGCAGCUUUUAGGAUUUAUUUCUAUUUCCUGCAAGUAGGAAGCGCAAGUUAUAAAAUGGAGGAGAAACGAGAAUGGACGAAACAGGAGACAGAAAAUUUUAUUGAAGCUGUGGAGAGCUACCCCGAAAUUUGGGACGUACAUAAUCGGGACUUUAAGGAUCGAAUGAAGAAGAUGUGUGCAUUGAACGAAAUCUCGUCAAUAUUCGACACAUCAGUGAAAGAGGUACAAAGAAAGUGGCAUAAUUUAAAGACCCAAUUUUCUCAAGAAGUUAGGAAACUGCAGAAAAUUAAAAGCGGCUCUCCUGGCGUAGUUUCGGAUUCUCGGUGGCCGUAUUUUUCAGCAAUGAAAUUUCUAGAGAGUAGUGUUGCCACAACCUCUAACAGAAUAUCUUCGCCAUCAACAAAGGAAGAAGAAAUAGUUACAGGAGAUGAUGUGCCUGUUGCUAAUGAGGGGAAGAAACGAAAAAGAAAGGAGACUAAAGGAAGUGGUAAUGGACUCAUUGAAAAGGCAGAAAAAAUCCUGGGCCAGG